rnacentral:rRNA from 1 species
GGAAUAUUGCACAAUGGGGGAAACCCUGAUGCAGCGAUGCCGCGUGGAGGAAGAAGGUUUUCGGAUUGUAAACUCCUUUUAUCAGGGACGAUAAUGACGGUACCUGACUAAGAAGCCCCGGCUAAUUACGUGCCAGCAGCCGCGGUAAUACGUAGGGGGCAAGCGUUAUCCGGAUUUACUGGGUGUAAAGGGAGCGUAGACGGAAUUGCAAGUCUGAUGUGAAAAUCCGGGGCCCAACCCCGGAACUGCAUUGGAAACUGUAUUUCUAGAGUGUCGGAGAGGCAAGUGGAAUUCCUGGUGUAGCGGUGAAAUGCGUAGAUAUCAGGAGGAACACCAGUGGCGAAGGCGGCUUGCUGGACGAUGACUGACGUUGAGGCUCGAAAGCGUGGGGAGCAAACAGA